CACGGGGGGAGCAAGCGUUGUUCGGAAUCACUGGGCGUAAAGGGCGUGUAGGCGGUCAGGUAAGUGAGAUGUGAAAUGCCCCGGCUCACCCGGGGACCGGCAUCUCAUACUGCUUGGCUUGAGUCCGGGAGAGGGGGGUGGAAUUCCCAGUGUAGCGGUGAAAUGCGUAGAGUAAUUGGGGAGGAACACCGGUGGCGAAGGCGGCCCCCUGGACCGGUACUGACGCUGAGGCGCGAAAGCGUGGGUAGCAAACGGG
rnacentral:rRNA from 1 species